rnacentral:rRNA from 1 species
CCUACGGGCGGCAGCAGUGAGGAAUAUUGGUCAAUGGACGAGAGUCUGAACCAGCCAAGUAGCGUGAAGGAUGACUGCCCUAUGGGUUGUAAACUUCUUUUAUAUGGGAAUAAAACAGUUUAUGCAUACACUCUUGUAUGUACCAUAUGAAUAAGGAUCGGCUAACUCCGUGCCAGCAGCCGCGGUAAUGCGGAGGAUCCGAGCGUUAUCCGGAUUUAUUGGGUUUAAAGGGGGCGUAGGCGGACUGUUAAGUCAGUUGGUAAAGUUUGCGGCUGAACCGUAAAAUUGCAGUUGAAACUGGCGGUCUAGAGAACAGUAGAGGUAGGCGGAAUAAGUGGAGUAGCGGUGAAAUGCUUAGAUAUAACGAAGAACACCGAUUGAGAAGGCAGCUCACUAGACUGAAUCUGACGCUGAUGCUCGAGAGUAUGGGUAGCGAACAGGAUUAGAUACCCUGGUAGUC